rnacentral:lncRNA from 1 species
UCCGAUCAUUCCCGGGGGUCUCCGGGCAUUCCCGGGGAUCUCCGGGCAUUCCCGGGGAUCUCCGAUCAUUCCCGGGGGUCCCCGGGCAUUCCCGGGGGUCUCUGAUCAUUCCCGGGGGUCUCGGUUCAUUCCCGGGGGUCUCCGAUCAUUCCCGGGGGUCUCGGUUCAUUCCGGGGGUCUCCGGGCAUUCCCGGGGGUCUCCAUUUAAUUCCGGGGGUCUCCGAUCAUUCCCGGGGGUCUCUGUUCAUUCCCGGGGGUCUCCGAUCAUUCCCGGGGGUCUCGGUUCAUUCCCGGGGGUCUCCGGGCGUUCCCGGGGGUCUCCGAUCAUUCCCGGGAAUCUGAUGUGAAUUCCAGGCCCAGAGGGCUCCGCUUCUCCCCUUCGGUUCCGGUUCUGGGGUCUCCACAUUCCCAAAUCCCGGGAAUCUCCUCUGAUUCCCAAAUCCCAGCAAUCUCUGAUUCCCAAAUCCCGGGAAUCUCUGAUUCCCAAAUCCCGGCAAUCUCUGAUUCCCAAAUCCCAGGAAUCUCUGAUUCCCAAAUCCCGGCAAUCUCUGAUUCCCAAAUCCCGGCAAUCUCUGAUUCCCAAAUCCCAUUUUUCCCCAGUCUCCAUCCCCCCUCAGCGGGCAGGGAAAUCGGGAAAUCGGGAAAUCGGGAAAUCCACUUGGGAAUCUCAGGCGGGAUCAGCAGCUGGGAUUUCCUCCCCUUUAUUCCCAUUUUUUCUUCCUUUUCCCCCUUUUUUCCCCCCUCUUUAUUCCCCCAUUUUCCCCCUUUUUUCCCCCCCUUUUCUCCCCUUUAUUCCCUCUUUUUUCCCUCCAUUUUUCCCCUUUAUUCCCUAUUUAUUCCCCCUUUUAUUUCCCUUUAUUCCCCCCUUUAUUCCCUAUUUAUUCCCCCUUUAUUCCCCUUUACUCCCCCUUUUUUUCCCUCCUUUAUUCCCCUUUAUUCCCCCUUUUUUUUUGCCCUUUAUUCCCUCUUUUUUCCCCCAUUUUUCCCCCUUUUUUCCCCUUUAUUCCCUCUUUUUUCCCCCUUUAUUCCCCCUUUAUUCCCCCUUUAUUCCCCUUUUUUCCCCCCAUUUCUCCCCAUUUUUCUCCCCUUUUCCCCCCUUUAUUCCCCCUUCAUUCCCCCUUUUUUCCCCCCUUUAUUCCUAUUUUUUUCCCUCUUUUUUCCCUCCAUUUUUCCCCUUUAUUUCCCCCUUUAUUCCCCGUUUUAUUUC